rnacentral:rRNA from 1 species
CCUACGGGUGGCAGCAGUGAGGAAUAUUGGUCAAUGGACGAGAGUCUGAACCAGCCAAGUAGCGUGAAGGAUGACUGCCCUAUGGGUUGUAAACUUCUUUUAUAUGGGAAUAAAACGUUCCACGUGUGGGAUUUUGUAUGUACCAUAUGAAUAAGGAUCGGCUAACUCCGUGCCAGCAGCCGCGGUAAUACGGAGGAUCCGAGCGUUAUCCGGAUUUAUUGGGUUUAAAGGGAGCGUAGGUGGAUUGUUAAGUCAGUUGUGAAAGUUUGCGGCUCAACCGUAAAAUUGCAGUUGAAACUGGCAGUCUUGAGUACAGUAGAGGUGGGCGGAAUCCGUGGUGUAGCGGUGAAAUGCUUAGAUAUCACGAAGAACUCCGAUUGCGAAGGCAGUUCACUGGACUGCAACUGACACUGAGGCUCGAAAGUGUGGGUAUCAAACAGGAUUAGAUACCCCUGUAGUC